GAUGAACGCUAGCUACAGGCUUAACACAUGCAAGUCGAGGGGAAACGACAUUGAAGCUUGCUUCGAUGGUCGUCGACCGGCGCACGGGUGAGUAACGCGUAUCCAACCUGCCUCUGACCAAGGGAUAACCCGUCGAAAGUCGGCCUAAUACCUUAUGCAGUCGUCGGAAGUCAUCUGAUGACGACGAAAGAUUUCAUCGGUGAGAGAUGGGGAUGCGUCUGAUUAGCUUGUUGGCGGGGUAACGGCCCACCAAGGCAACGAUCAGUAGGGGUUCUGAGAGGAAGGUCCCCCACAGUGGAACUGAGACACGGUCCAAACUCCUACGGGAGGCAGAAGUGAGGAAUAUUGGUCAAUGGGCGAGAGCCUGAACCAGCCAAGUAGCGUGCAGGAUGACGGCCCUAUGGGUUGUAAACUGCUUUUAUGCGGGGAUAAAGUGAGGGACGUGUCCUUCAUUGCAGGUACCGCAUGAAUAAGGACCGGCUAAUUCCGUG
rnacentral:rRNA from 1 species